CUUUCACAUUAUAUAUUGUUCAUAUAGUUUACCAAAAUAUGAAUUUCAAUUGUUUUUAUCUCAAUUAUCUUUAUUGUUUCAAGCUAUGUAUACAACUGUUUCUUUGUCCAUAUGAUUUUGAUACAAAUAUCAAACCUCUGGUUCACAGAGUGUAGUUUUACACUUUGGUUGUCCUCCAUGUCAAACUAGGAUGCUUAGCCUAGCAGGGUGCGUUUAUGCUAAACCAGUACAGUUCUUGCCUCAACAGGCAUUCACUACUGACUGCAGCUCAAGCUUCAUGUAAGUAUCUUUUGAUUUUAUGCUUUCAUAUUUUUUGCCUGUUUGCAUUGAUUUUUUAAUUUACCUCAUCACUUUCACAUGAUGAGAUUAUUCUGAUUAGCACGCCCUUGGAAUCGGAAAGGAGGAGAUAAAUCAUAACGGUAUCGAUCGAUUUUGAGGACCAACCGUAUAAAAAUUUGGUGGAUCAUUUCUUGAGGAAAUGAAAGAUUGGGGCAUUUACUGUGAAUUCAAAUUAGGCCCGUGGUAAGGUUGAGCAUUUUUCGCAUGAAUCAAUUAUUGUCGACUAUGGAACAUAUUGCUCUAAUAGACGUGCAGUGACCUACGGAACAACAAUCUACUAGACAUGCAUAUGUGCUGCUGCUGCAGUGUACUUAGUUUCUGUCGCAAUUGUUGUUGCAAUAUUUGUUCUACUAAUAUCGGUUGGAUGCUUGCAUAGAGGCUAUAGUUUCGUUACAUCUAAAUUUUUUUUGAAGCGAACUAUAACUCAUUUUUUUACUAAAAUAGCUUUACCCCUACAUCUUAUCUAGAUUUUAAGCACAAGGAGAAUGGCUGGUAGUGUCACCAUAUGCUCCAAUUUUCUCCGUUGCUUCACCAUAUUCGUAAUUCAAAAGACUUAUGAUAGGCUGGACGUCAGUUUUGGUACAUGAGAACACGAGUUCAUUCUAUACUUCCUCGACACCCAUAAAUAAAGUAGCUAAAUGAUUAUCUGAUUAUUAGUGAGACACGUAUUAGCUCAAACUAUUAGCAUGCUACAGAAGCAAGGUCACAUCUUUUGGAUGACAACACGAAAGAAAAAUAUGAAAGGUGGAGGUGAACUGAGAUCGUUAAGUACUUGAAAUAUAUACGUUCUGGCCAAAAUGCGAGGUUCGUUUUCAUAUGAUUUCAUAAAUAUACGCUCUCGCCAAAUCGCGAGGCGUCCCGGAUAGAGUGCAAUGAGUGAAACGGUAAGUACUUUAGACAGACAAACAUAUAAAUUUUGUUGUUUUUUGAAUAUAAUCAACCAUAAAGGAAAGCAUUGGUUUAAACCAGAAAGUGCCAGGUUAAGAUUGUAUUUUAUUUUUUUUGAUGGAAAAGUUCAUUCAUGAAAGCUUACAAAUGUAAUACAAGAGAUUUACAAGAUUAUUUUUGUCAAAAGUAUUAGAAUCGAUGCUAGUUCUAUGAAAUUUUUGAUUAAGAUUCUCCGACAUAUGUUGUAGUCUUUUGAUCCUCGCUUCCUUGGCGAUGUAGUCCGCUGCUUUGUUAUUUUUUCUCUUUAUGUAGUUCACUUUCGCUCGUGGAAGAUCUCCCAAAAGACUUCAAAUCUCCUGUAAAGUAUUUUCUGCCGACCACGAAAUCUCCGUUGUAAUCAUGUUUAAAUUAUCUGCCAAAACUUUGCAAUCUGUUAAGAUUGUAUCACUUCUAGGAAAUAGGUUUAGAAUUUCUUAUUUCAGUUUUUAUAGUGGGCUGAGCUCAGUUGGUGUUAUUUUUGUAGGCAGUAUACAAUAACAUAUGGGUAUAUGAUUUCUUUUCUUAGUCCUAUGUACCAAAGAUUUGUAUGCCCUUGGCACAUGAGCAAGGCCCCAUCUCAUUUAUGACUUUAGA